GGGUCCCUGAGGGUGGGGGCACCCUUAGGGGAAUAUAGUGCCAGGAAAACGAGUAUGUUUUCCUGGCACUAUAGUGGUCCUUUAACCCCUUUAGGACACAGCUUCAAAAGCCUGUCUCACCCUUAACCCCUUAAGGACUGGACUGUUUUUGCGAUGUUGUACAUUUGCGACCAGGCAGCUUUUUACACUUUUGUGGUGUUUGUGUUUAGCUGUAAUUGUCCGCUCUCUCAUUUACUGUUCCCAUACAAAUUAUAUAUUGUCUUUUUCAGGACAAAAGGGGCUUUCUUUACAUACCAUAAUUUAUAUAGUCUC